GACGAACGCUGGCGGCGUGCUUAACACAUGCAAGUCGAACGGAAAGGCCCUGCUUUUGUGGGGUGCUCGAGUGGCGAACGGGUGAGUAACACGUGAGUAACCUGCCCUUGACGUUGGGAUAACUUCAGGAAACUGGGGCUAAUACCGGAUAGGAGCUCCUGCUGCAUGGGGGGGGUUGGAAAGUUUCGGCGGUUGGGGAUGGACUCGCGGCUUAUCAGCUUGUUGGUGGGGUAGUGGCUUACCAAGGCUUUGACGGGUAGCCGGCCUGAGAGGGUGACCGGCCACCUUGGGACUGAGAUACGGCCCGGACUCCUGCGGGAGGCAGCAGUGGGGACUGUUGCACAAUGGGCGGACGCCUGAUGCAGCAACGCCGCGUGCGGGAUGACGGCCUUCGGGUUGUAAACCGCUUUCGCCUGUGACGAAGCGUGGGUGACGGUAAUGGGUAAAGAAGCACCGGCUAACUACGU
rnacentral:rRNA from 1 species